rnacentral:rRNA from 1 species
GGCGAGGGAGAGGGGCAGGGCUAGGCCAGACUUAGUCACUGCUUUGGGGUGAGGGGUGAGAGGAGCGAGGGGCUAGGGGAAGACCUAGCCCCGUUGUUGGAGCCGCGGACCGCGGGGCGACGGAUGGGGCGGUAAGGGGGUAGCGGACCGCGAGCGGCCUGGGGCAGACGCGGCAGGGCAGUAGAGAAGGAGCGGGUUCCAGCGCGGGCUUCCGGCGUCUGCGGCGCCGGUAGCGGCGGGACGAACCUGGAGCGGCCUGCGGUAGCGGCCUGACGGAGGGGCAGCAGGAGAAGCAGCGGAUGAGUAGGGGCAGAAGGAGGAGUUGUCGAGGUUGCUCGGAGCGGCGGGGAGCAGGAACGUUGUACCUGAUGCUCUGGCUGCGACGACGGCGGGGCAAGCUGAUGCCUCAACUGCUGGGGAGGAAGAACGGUCUCGUUGGUCCGUUCGGGGGAGGGAAACUAGUGGUCUAUAGCGGAUGAGAAGAGAUAUGACGAACGUAAUCUCAUCACAUCGUACAAUGACGAAAGGCAAUAAGGAUAGGACUACGUAUCGGACAGGAACGAUGAUGACAACAAUGGUAAUGGACGAUAGGAUGAC